CAUAUGGAAACUACAGAAAGGUCUUUCCUACUGAGACACUCCAGGCAGCAGGAGUGAUGCUGAAAAGCUCCUGGAAAAUGGGACCAGUUGUACAGCCAAAAACUAUAGAACAUCUCGCUAUUUAUUCUAUGGAACAUCUUAUUAUUUACUGUUAUCCUUCUAUUCUCCCAAGGAGUUCAGAGCAACAUACAUUAGAGGAAGAUUUCAAAAAUUCUUUGCAUUACUUAUUUAUUUUAAUCUUACAGGAGAACUCCUCUGGAAAGCGAGCAUCAGUUGUAACUAUGAAGUGCUCUCACAGCUUCACAGCAAUAUUUGAUCACCCAUUUACCUUUGACCACCUGCUUUCUUUGCAAAGCAGAUCUGCAUACCGAUAUGCUUGAAGCCACUUCUGCUGGAAGGAGUAGCACCACAUCAGCUCCCAGUAGCAGAGGUUCAUUUCCUGGAGGAGGGAGGCAGUCACUGGAAGAUGGAAUGCAGCACCACUCUGCUGAAGGAAGAAUAGAUUCAAGCCUUAAUAUCCAGAGAAUAGUUUUCUGGAAGCUGUUAGGAUUUCUUGGAGAUGGGACGUUAUGCUGGGUUCAAGAGCCAGGUUGCAAAUCUCAAGUGGGUCAUAUCUGAAUGCAUAAUAGACCCCCUCACUCUGCGACAGAAGAUUUGGCACUUGAGGUUUCAAUCCAGGGUAAGAGGUCUAAUGGAAAUGACCCUGUCACUGUGGUCGAAAGGAGUGAUCAGAGUUCUGAGACUGGGACAAAGACUUUGAGAAAAUGAAACAAAGAAAGGCACUUCAAAGUCGGAGCUGUUCUCUCAGCGGUGGACAACAAAAAACUGAGGGGAGAGAAACGCUGUGCUUCUGAAGGGGAGGGGAGCUUCCUGCCAAAAUGCUAGCAGGAACUCAGAGCUUUGGAAAGUUACUGAAUGAAACUUCUAUGCAUGUGCGAAGCCCAUCAGUUUGAACAACAGAGACCACAACGAGGAACAUAACUUAUUUCAUCAAGAGGCUGGUGCAGACAAGCUCCUCCCAAAAAUGCAGCUAGCAAAUCAGAAGACAGUCUUAGGUCUCUUCCUCUCCUUAGAAUAAAUUUAUCCCUCCCUUG